GGAGGGAUACCAAAGUGGCCAACUGGGGCGGACUGUAAAUCCGCUGUCUUCGACUUCGUAGGUUCGAAUCCUACUCCCUCCACCA
rnacentral:tRNA from 1 species